AAUGAAAGGCAGCGUAAAGGAUGGGCCUGAAGACGGCAAUCAGGCGCCGCUUUAUGGACUAUGAAAUAGUGCACAGGGCUGUAUAUAUUUCUAUAGCUAUGCCUCUGCUGGGCUCAGGCUGUUUCUGUAGUUUACUUUAUCCGCUCAGAGACGCAUCCCUGUUGGGACCUUGGCUGUACUAAGGAGUGUCACAACCGUGAUGCAGGCCCCAUGUGGCAUGUUGUCUCUCUGAGUCAUUCAGGCAUACAGAACCCUGGCUUUCCUCUCCACUGCUUACAGAAACACGGUGAGCCUGCAGCAGGUGAACCUGUCAUCGCCGGCACCUGCAGGAUCCUAACAGCCAGCAGGGGAAAACUGGAGGACACAGGAAGUUUUGUCAUGAAGAGUUCUGCCGGGGCCACCUGGGAAGCUCAGCGAUGAAGUUUUCCUGGAGCACUGAUGCCUCAUCUGAAGCAGCAUCUUCCAUCUACAACCCGGACGGGAUGAGAAUUCUGCGACCAACCACCAGAAACGUGCACAAUGACGAGGAAUAUAAGCACGGUCGCAAGCAGCGAGCCUCCGAACCCCACAAGAAGGCCCCACAGCAGCGGCAGAGCCACAUCCCACAGCCCCUUCUGGUACAGAGAUCAAACUGCAAAAACACUCGCAGCAGUCUGCACCAGGGACCUCCAGGUACAACGGACAACGUUCCUCUGACUGACUCUCCUUCUACCUGAUUCAGGUAUUGGUGUUUUAGAGGGCUGCACCAACCAAUAGUGUCGAAGCACCUGAGUAAGCCCACCCAUUUUUCAGUCAUAAAACCCCACCACACCCUGCCAUGUGGCGUGCUUUUAUUACCAAGCAGUUCCAAAAAAAGAAAGAACCCACAAUCAGGAACAAAUAUAAAGAAGGAUAUUCCCCAAACUACUGUGAUCAACAGCGAUAUCAGUAAAAUCAUCCACUUUUAGAGCUCUUAUCUUUAUCUUAUCUUAUCUUAUUAUCAUAGCAGACAUAACAUAUUAUCCACUUCAAAGACCAAGAAGACAGACUCCAAGGAAAGCACAAGAACAAAUGAAAUAAAGUAGUUUCAUGUAAUAUUCA
rnacentral:lncRNA from 1 species